UGGGGAAUUUUGGACAAUGGGCGAAAGCCUGAUCCAGCAAUGCCGCGUGUGUGAAGAAGGCCUUCGGGUUGUAAAGCACUUUUGUCCGGAAAGAAAUCCUUGGCCCUAAUACAGUCGGGGGAUGACGGUACCGGAAGAAUAAGCACCGGCUAACUACGUGCCAGCAGCCGCGGUAAUACGUAGGGUGCAAGCGUUAAUCGGAAUUACUGGGCGUAAAGCGUGCGCAGGCGGUUUGCUAAGACCGAUGUGAAAUCCCCGGGCUCAACCUGGGAACUGCAUUGGUGACUGGCAGGCUAGAGUAUGGCAGAGGGGGGUAGAAUUCCACGUGUAGCAGUGAAAUGCGUAGAGAUGUGGAGGAAUACCGAUGGCGAAGGCAGCCCCCUGGGCCAAUACUGACGCUCAUGCACGAAAGCGUGGGGAGCAAACAGGAUUAGAUACCCUGGUAGUCCACGCCCUAAAACGAUGUCAACUAGUUGUUGGGGAUUCAUUUCCUUAGUAACGUAGCUAACGCGUGAAGUUGACCGCCUGGGGAGUACGGUCGCAAGAUUAAAACUCAAAGGAAUUGACGGGGUCAUA
rnacentral:rRNA from 1 species